UCUUAUUGGUCUGGGUGCAUUCCAUGUGUCUCUGGUCUCUCUCAUUUACAUACAGGCCCUUACGUUAUCCUCCUCCUCAGGGCUGGGGAUGCCAUUUUGGAAAGCAGCGGUGGUGAUUUCCCAGCGGGACAGGGACAUGACAAUGAAAGGAGUACACUACUUGGGAACUCUGAAUGCUUGGUGACUUGGCUGUCCCCACUCUACCUUCAGCCCAGGGGCAGUUUGCCAAGAACUGCAGCCCCAAGGAAGGUCUGAGUGCACAAAAGCUGUCAGCACCCAUAGUGGAAUAGGAAUGGGGCUGCAGGCAGCCUCAGCUUUGAUGAGUUACAGCUGUGUCCUUGAACACGACAGCUGAAGUCGAUAAACUUCUCAGGACCAGGCUGUCUCUUCAUUCGCAUGUGUUCUGUUCCUAAUACCACGUGGUCAUGGUCCCCUGGAGACUUCCUAAAAAGAAAAUACACGUCAUCUGGCUAUUUACAAGAGGCUGGACAACCUAAAGAUAUUCAUUCAAUUCUCUAACACAUUCACUACUGACCUUAGUAAUUCCAGUCUCAGCUGGUGUCCUUCAAGACAGCUGUGAAAUAUCCCCAACAUCCUCUGAAGUCCUGAUCCCUGCAGCUGUGCAACUGGCUGUUUAGACUUCCCAGUGCUAAGGUUACAACUACUACUUACUUACUGAUAAGACCAUGAAAAGUAGUUGCUGAGUAAUCCUGGGAGAAGUUCAAACACACAAAGAGCCCUCAAAACAGAGAAACACAGAGUAAGAACCUGUAUGGAUAAGGUCCCCAUGCAGAAAAGCCUAGCCAAUGUGCUGCAUUCCUGGAAUUUCAUUGUGGACUUCAAUUGCACAAUUACAUUUUUUUUCAUGUAAUGUAUCAGUGUUGGAGCUUUUUCCUUUCAUCAGUUCAAGUUUUAUUCAAGAGAUCUGAAAACUAUAAUGUUCCUAGAAAGCAAAGUAGCCUCUACUUGACUUCUAGAUGAGCUCCUGUAGCAAACAUACAUCUCUCUUGUAUUUAUGAUAUCUGAUUUUAUUACCUGAUGUGCAGACAGCUGCACUGGUUUCCAGUCACAAUAUGUAUAUAUUCACCUUGCUUGCACACCUUCUUGCAAUGAUCAUGUUCUUCAGCACUGUGUAGAAGACAGAGUUUUAAAUGAAUAAUUAACAAUAUCAUGUUGCUUCUUUUGCUCAGUCCAUGAGGGAGCUGUAACCUCUUAAAGAGGGCCAAAACUCCUUGGUAUGUUCUUCAUUUCUCUCAGUAAAGGUAAAAGAUUCAUCCGAGUAAAGUUCUUCAGUAAUAUGUGACUGGAAUAUCUUCUCAAGGUACUCCACAUAAGGAUGCUGGUAGUACUAUCUGUAAAUUUUUUAUGCCUUAGAAAAAUGCUGGUAGUAGUGAAGUUUUCAAUGAGAAGACUGAAUGUUUCAGAUGUCCUCAAAUAAAAUUAUUUGU